rnacentral:rRNA from 1 species
GCCGCGGUAAUUCCAGCUCCAAUAGCGUAUAUUAACGUUGUUGCAGUUAAAAAGCUCGUAGUUGAAAUGAAGGGUAGUUGUGUAAUGAAUACAUUCGUGUAUUUUGUUAUUCUACUACCCUCCUUCUAAAUUCGAUAUAUGAGUAUUAAUUUACUUGUAUAUGGUUUUAGACGUUUACUGUGAGAAAAUUAGAGUGUUCAAAGCAGGCAUUUGCUUGAAUAUAUUAGCAUGGAAUAAUCAUGUAUGAUUUUCAUGAUGUAUUUGAUUGGUUUGGUUCAUGAGAAUAAGAUUAAAAGGGACAGUUGGGGGUAUUCAUAUUCAAUAGUCAGAGGUGAAAUUCUCGGAUUUAUGGAAGAUGAACAAGUGCGAAAGCAUUUACCAAGGAUGUUUUCAUUAAUCAAGGGCGAAAG